ensembl:snoRNA SNORA63 Small nucleolar RNA SNORA63
UAGCAGGAUAAGUUACAGUGCAGCUUGUGAAGUGCUGUGUUGUCGUUCCCCCUGCAAAAACUAACCUGUUUCCAGCUAUCCCUGCUUGUCUUCCUUCGUAGACACCCAGGGACGCAAGGUCUCAAACAG